CCCUGCCAUUUGUACACACCGCCCGUCGCUACUACCGAUUGAAUGGCUUAGUGAGACCUUCGGAUUGGCGUUCACUUGCCGUAAGGCAGGAGGGUGCUGAAAAGUUGGUCAAACUUGGUCAUUUAGAGGAAGUAAAAGUCGUAACAAGGUUU
rnacentral:rRNA from 1 species